GAUCAUGGCUCAGGAUGAACGCUAGCUACAGGCUUAACACAUGCAAGUCGAGGGGCAGCAUGAUCGAAGCUUGCUCGAUUGAUGGCGACCGGCGCGACGGGUGAGUAACGCGUAUCCAACCUUCCCUAUAGUAGAGAAUAGCCCGGCGAAAGUCGGAUUAAUGCUCUAUGUUGUAUUUAGAAGACAUCUGAAGAAUACCAAAGGUUUACCGCUAUAGGAUGGGGAUGCGUCUGAUUAGGUUGUUGGCGGGGUAACGGCCCACCAAGCCCACGAUCAGUAGGGGUUCUGAGAGGAAGGUCCCCCACAUUGGAACUGAGACACGGUCCAAACUCCUACGGGAGGCAGCAGUGAGGAAUAUUGGUCAAUGGACGCAAGUCUGAACCAGCCAAGUAAGCGUGCAGGACGACGGCCCUAUGGGUUGUAAACUGCUUUUAUACAGGGAUAAAGUGAGGGACGUGUCCCUUUUUGUAGGUACUGUAUGAAUAAGGACCGGCUAAUUCCGUGCCAGCCGCGGC
rnacentral:rRNA from 1 species